rnacentral:lncRNA from 1 species
AUCCUACUAAAUAAAGAUCAAAUCUUUAUCUAAAUUACAAUAAAAUAAAGAUGAAAUCUUCAGAAUCUAGAUGCAACCUUUCCGUAUGCCAGGAACUGCAGGUCCUCUACUUCGUGCGCACGCUAGGCAAUACAGGAAAGUGGGAUGAAUCUCUGUAUUGAUACACCUUCGCAAGGCCACCAAGGGAAGGAAGAGAGGUGUUGGUGUGACCCUUCACACCAGCAAAGAGGAUGCCUAAGGAGGGCCCACGCCAAGAGGAAUAAGGGAC